GAUAAAAGGAGGGUGACAGGAGGACCUGGUUGCUGUCUGUGGGGUUUGCUUUGAGGCUGGAGGGAGGGAAGCCUUGGCCCUGGGAGCAGGAAUUUUUCUCCUGGCUCUUCCAUGGGAAAAGUAGAGGUGGGGAGAUGCACCACGUCUGGAGGAUAAUGGUCCUAGGAGGUGUUUUUCUGCAUGGAAUGAAAUAUGCAUCUUCUGAAUGGACUUUUUGCUAUUUGACAUCUCCUUUCCAGACUCUUAAACAGAGUGCACACUGGUGAGGUCAAAUGAGGUCCUGUAACACUCAUCACUGAAGCCUGUGGGAUGAAGAAACCCUCUUAUCACCUAGGCUGAGAUACUUUACACAUCAUUCUAGGAAACAUCAUGCAUGAUGUGAAUGUGUCAGGAUUUCCUACAAUGAACACACAAGGCAAUCAGCAGAAAAGCUGGAAUAUCUACAAAACAAGAUUGAAGCGAUACACUGAUGAAGAGGAAAUUUCCUGUGAUGCCUCUAAACUCUGAGUCGGUGUCAUUGGAGACAGCCUUGUAACAAACAACUUGGAUCUCCAGUAAAAUCACAACUUUUAGAGAUUUUUUUUUAAACAAGUUGAAACAAGUAGUGGUGAGUGGAGUCUCAUUUUUAAGGUAAAACUCAGAUUCAAACUGCAAGCCUCUGAAAAAGCUCAAUUUGUUCCUUCCCCGGAAUAUGUUAUAUGCAAUUGAGCCGAAGCUGUCAGAGCAGGUUAAGCUGUCUGACCAGUGCUGGUGGUAACUCCAGGAGCUGGAAGCAGGUGGAUGAAAAGCAGGCCUUGAGCAGGAAGAUUUAUCAGUGUCCCUAUUCGCCACCUCACUUAACUCAAAAUUACCUAAGGAUUGUGACAAUAGUUACAAAAGGAUAGAAUGGUGGCAAUUGCAUGAACAAGUGGUAGUCUAAAGCAACAACUUUGCAGAUUUGCAUGUGCCAUGGUACGUGAGAGCAAAUGAGAGAACAGACCUGUGUUAACUGAAGAAAUGUGAGGAUGCGGGUGCUGAGCUAUUGCAGAGCUGAAGGAAAGGCAGAGAUUUGGUUGUGUUGUAAAAAAUCU